GAUGAAGAACGUAGCGAAAUGCGAUAAGUAAUGUGAAUUGCAGAAUUCAGUGAAUCAUCGAAUCUUUGAACGCACAUUGCGCCCGCCAGUAUUCUGGCGGGUAUGCCUGUUCGAGCGUCAUUUCAACCAUCAAGCCCCCGGCUUGUGUUGGGGACCUGCGGCUGCCGCAGGCCCUGAAAACCAGUGGCGGGCUCGCUAGUCACUCCGAGCGUAGUAAUACAUCUCGCUCAGGGCGUGCUGCGGGUUCCGGCCGUUAAAAAGCCUUAUUUACCCAAGGUUGACCUCGGAUCAGGUAGGAAGACCCGCUGAACUUAAGCAUAUCAAUAAGCGGAGGA
rnacentral:misc_RNA from 1 species